AUUGAACGCUGGCGGCAUGCCUAACACAUGCAAGUCGAACGGGGUAGCAAUACCCAGUGGCGGACGGGUGAGGAAUACAUAGGAAUUUGCCUUUAGGUGGGGGAUAGCCCGGGGAAACUCGGAGUAAUACCGCAUGAUGUCGAAAGACCAAAGCAGGGGAUCGCAAGACCUUGCGCCUUUAGAGAAGCCUAUGUCUGAUUAGCUAGUUGGUAGGGUAAUGGCCCACCAAGGCGACGAUCAGUAACUGGUCUGAGAGGACGAUCAGUCACACCGGAACUGAGACACGGUCCGGACUCCUACGGGAGGCAGCAGUGGGGAAUAUUGGACAAUGGGCGAAAGCCUGAUCCAGCAAUGCCGCGUGUGUGAAGAAGGCCUCGGUGUAAG
rnacentral:rRNA from 1 species